UACGAAGGGGGCUAGCGUUGCUCGGAAUCACUGGGCGUAAAGCGCACGUAGGCGGACUCUUAAGUCGGUGGUGAAAUCCUGGAGCUCAACUCCAGAACUGCCUUCGAUACUGGGAGUCUCGAGUUCGGGAGAGGUGAGUGGAACUGCGAGUGUAGAGGUGAAAUUCGUAGAUAUUAGGAAGAACACCAGUGGCGAAGGCGGCUCACUGGCUCGUAACUGACGCUCAGGCGCGACAGGCGUGGGGAUCAAACAGG
rnacentral:rRNA from 1 species